AUGUAUUCCUCCCCAUCCGCUCGCCGGACCAAACCUAGCCACUUCACUUCACUCCCCUCCACCAACCAAGCUCACCUCUAUCUGGAGGUGAUAGAGACUAUGCAGGACUGAGGACAAUCAGCGGGUGUGGCGGCAGCAAUUUUCGAUGACUGCUUUCACUAUGCAUGUGAUUUUGUCAUGACUAGAUUCGAACAUUGUUAUAUAGAGGCAAAUAAAGUAGCUCAUGAACUUGCCAGAUUAGCUAGAUUUUCUUUGACUUCAGACUAUUUUGAGAAGCCUCUAAAUGAAAUUGUAGUGAUCCUCACAAACGAUGUAACGGUUAUCUCAAAUGAAUAA
rnacentral:rRNA from 1 species